GCACCGCGUUGAAAAGUGCCGGCGUCGGCAGCGGCUCCCGCAGAGUCUCCCGGCACGGCGGCGCUGCCGCUCCGCUCCCGCAGCCCGACAGCGGGCAGAGCUCCGCCGCGAUGUCCGCGCUCCUCCUGGUUCUCCUGGCAGCGCACUGGGGAUUAUCGCCCGUCGCGGAGGUGCUGGCAGCGGGAGCUCGCGGAGUUCUCUGCAGGUUCUGAUAAUGCUGUUUGCCAUAAGGGCGUUCCAUCCUGUGACUGAAGGGGAGAAGUGCAACUGCUACCCUGCAUUCCAGUGUUCUUUCCCACUUGUGAAAGUCACUUAAUCUCUGUUUGAACCUGUUCCUGCUCUGCUCCAGCAGCACGGCUUCUCUUAGCGGGUUCAUCCAAAUGGAUCAAGAGGAAGAUGCCUUUGACACUUCUGUACCCGGAGGAUGCAGAAGCUCCUUGGCUGAGAGCUAUGAAAGAGGUUAUUUUGGGAGCAAUAUGGAUUUGCAGGAGAACUGGCCACUGCCACCAGGAGGGUCGCCCUGCCUGCAUGGAAAUUGUGUUCGUUUCAGUUCCUUACAAGGCCAGAACAAGAAUUUAAAAAUAAAUACGUGUAAUAAUAAAAAAAAAAUAAGCGAACUCAACCAAUUUUCAAGGUAGGGUAGUGAUUAUAAGCUGUGCCACUUGGUCAGGCAGAGCCGACCAGCUCCAUUGAGCCCACAGCUCCCUGGGAGCUCUCAUCUUUUCUUCUGAGUCUUUGAACAGCGACAGAAUGUUGUGCUCCCUGGUGCCGCUGAGCUGCCCUACCUCCUGGUAUCCUAACGUUUGUGACUGGGCUGAGAACAGCUCUUCCCCGUGGUCUCUUUAAUUUCUGAUCUGUGGGCUGCAGGCAAGUGGCUGGGGCUCUAAAGCAAGCUCGUUGUGCCUGAGUUAUAUGACUUCCUCUUUUUAGCUAGGCAAAGCAGAUUAAAAAUUAUUUCUUCUUUGUCUUGUGCUGUAGGCUAGGAAUAAAAGCCAUCGAAGACAAAUCUGCUAUUACAGAGAUUGUCACUCAGCCUGUUCUCCAAUAGACAAGGUCUGCGAUCACAGAGUGCAGAAACAAAUGCACGUGUAAAACUGAUCUGCACCAGAGGUUCCCGAAGUCAUCAUGCGGUGCAUAAUCUUAUAAGUGAGGGGUUAUAUAACAAAUGCUUCCUCAAGAAUUGUACAUCUUUCUUUUACAUCGCCUUCGCAAGUUUUUUUUUAACCUUCUUCUAAAGUGGAUCAAUUUUAUCCCGUAUAAAUGUUGAGACUUCUUUUGCAUGUUGAGCCAGGGAUCAUCACCUGGUGUAGGAACAGGGGUGCAAUUAGGAAUAGAAACAGCAGAUAAGUUGGGUUUGUCCUCAGACAAAAGGAAUUGCUGUGCUUCUAAUACAACCCCUUAUUUUAACUGGGCAAAGCAUUAAGGAGGGGGGACACAGAGGUAAACUGAUGACAAAGCAGCUGGAGUAGAUGCUUAAGGAGAGUUUAAACCUUUUGUUAUGAGAUGGAAGCGAAGGAUAUGGACAUUUAGGAAGCGCUUAGUGGGCAAUAGAAGUCCUUAAGUUGAAGCAAAAAGGGGAUCACAGUGAGGUGGUUCUGUGGAAGAAAAGAAUGAAUGGAAAGUGGGAGUUGUCCUUAAUAUCUCUGAAGCGUUUUCUUUCCUCGUUCUACAUGGGCGACUCUCUCUGAAUCUGCAAAGCUCUCACAUCUACCUUUCAGUAACUGUUCCUACAGUGUUAAUAUUUUUUUAACUAAACUGCCUUUUAAAAAAAAAAUACUCUAAGCCCUCUCCUCCAAUAAAGUUCAGCAAGCCCUCUCCUCCAAUAAAGAUUGUUCAAUAAAAUCACAACCGUGUAUUUCUAGGUCCUGAGCCAUCUAUCUGAUUUUCAUGUAGAUGCAGGGUGAAGCCUGCUUGGAAAAAAAUGAGAGGACAUCCAGUGGACGUGAUCUAGCUGGUGCUUUUUUUCUGCAUCUUCUGUUUGCUCCCUCUUCCCGAAUACAUUCAGUAUGUGCACUUACUGAUGAAGCACAAGUUUCAGAGAUGCUCAGUGUCUCUAGCGCAUAAGCCUUCUCUUUGUACUAUGUCCUUGUCAUGCCUAUUUUUAAGAGAAACUUCAUGAAGUUAGUUUCUAAUGCCACACCAAUAACUUCAUUAUUUGAAAGCUCGUUCUGACCGAAAACCCAUGUUAUGUACUCAGUCUGCCAUGGGUGAGUGCUGAUGAACUUGUUCUAGUCCAGGGUUUUCUUUUCAGUUCCCUGGUUAGCCAUUUUCUUCUCAUUAUUGUCUUAAAAUUCGUACUACCUUUGUAUUUAAUAUAUUCCACUUGUUGCAAGGAAGUCCUAAAUUAAUGGAAAUGUAAGCACAGCUCUUGCAAACCCUCAAGAUUUGAAACUGAAUGUGGCUGUGGAAGAAUAUAUGGAAGCAAUUUCUCCUUCUAGAAAUCUAAUAAUUGUGUUCUAAUCUCUUCAGUGGUGCAGUGGUACCCUAUAAAUACCUUCCCACUGUGGUGACUUCUAGUUUGCUUUCAAAAACUCAGCUUAUUUUAAAUGUCACUCU